UGACGUCGUGUUCCUCCUCCCGCUCGCAGCGAAGCUGGAGGAUUUAACGACGUCGCAGAGCGAACAGGGUCUUUUUCACCUGGGAGGCGGCGGGCUGUGGUCCCACCUGAACCCGCCUCCUGGUUUUGCGGGACCCGACAAAC
ensembl:snoRNA small nucleolar RNA SNORA79